CAGUUUCCUGCUUCAACAGUGCCUGAAUGGAACCAG
rfam:Tupaia chinensis contig83303, whole genome shotgun sequence.